UUGCUUUGGCAGCACAUAUACUAAAAUUGGACGAUACGGAGAAGAUUAGCAUGGCCCCUGCGCAAGGAUGACACAAAAAUGUCAACCAAUGAAGCAUACUAAU